UGAUUGUUUGGAUCUCAAUUGCCAUAUUGUUCUGGUUUACACUUUGAUCAUCAUAGUCUUCAUCAUAGUUGGUAUCUGAAUAUCUUUCAUCAUGCAUGGCCGGGGGAGUCCAUUCCUCAUCAUCUUCUCCUUACUGCUCUGUAUGCUUGAAUCGUCUCACAUUAACAUGUUGAUGACUAUUCAAAGUAUUUUCUUUCUUUCUCUCUCUUCUUCUUCUACUCUUUUUUUAAAAUCUAAAAUAUAUAUAAAUAACUACUCAAUACACUAUAAACAUUACGGUUUUAGAAUAAGCACUAUUGUGAAAAAAUAUAAAUAAAUAAUUUUGAAAUGACAUUUAAUGAUGAUUAUUGAGUAAAGAAAAGUUUGUAGCUGAAUUGUGGCUGGUAUGACAUUGAUUAUUUUAUAAAAAUAUGAAAUUAAUGUUCAGUGAUAAAGCACCUUAAAUACCUGCAGUACCAAAUAUGAUAGACACAUUUUAACACGAUUUAAAUGUAAUAUAACAAAAACAUUUCUAAGUAAUUGUGCAUUAUUUCAAAACAUAAAACAUUACUUUAAAAAAGUGAAUAACAAUGUAUAUAUUAUUUUUACUGUAAGUUGUUUAAAAUUGGCAAAGACUUUCCUGGAAAACGCGUAUGACCAAUCUCAUGCGAGACGACAUUUAGAAAAGAGGGAAACAAAACGCUUUCUCUGCCUGCAGUGCAAUGAUAAUCCAGUAGAUGGCAGAAUACAAGUCUGAAAUUGUAUACAAUAGGUUUUUGGGUACAUAUUGAUCAUGUUCU